rnacentral:rRNA from 1 species
AAAACGACUCUCGGCAACGGAUAUCUCGGCUCUCGCAUCGAUGAAGAACGUACCGAAAUGCKAUACUUGGUGUGAAUUGCAGAAUCCCGUGAACCAUCGAGUCUUUGAACGCAAGUUGCGCCCUAAGCCUUCUGGCCGAGGGCACGUCUGCCUGGA